rnacentral:rRNA from 1 species
CACUCAUUCAAAGAGUGCGUAAUAGCUCACUGGUCGAGUGAUUUUGCGCCGAAAAUUUAACGGGGCUAAACUGUACACCGAAGCUUGGGAAUAUACAUUUGUAUGUUGGUAGGAGAGCGUUGUGUAAGGGGUGAAGUCGUAGCGAAAGCGGCGGUGGACUUUACACAAGUGAGAAUGCCGGAAUGAGUAGCGAGAAUUAUGUGAGAAUCAUAAUGGCCGAAAGACUAAGGUUUUAGAAGGAAGGUUCGUCCGCUUCUAGUUAGCCGGGAGCUAAGGCGAGGCCGAGAGGCGUAGUCGAUGCACAUACGGUUGAGAUUCCGUAGCUACCUUGCAUUUAAGCGAAGGGACACAUUUGAAGGGCAUGACCCGGGCGUUGGUUGACCCGGGCGUAAGGGACCGAAAAUAAGUAGGGAAGCAUGCUUGGAUGGUGGCGAGAAAAGCUUCGUGUAUAUAAGCAGGGUACCCGUACUGCAAACCGACACAGGUAGUCAGGAAGAGGAUUCUAAGGCCAUCGGGAGAAGCGUUGUUAAGGAACUCGGCAAAUUGACCCCGUAACUUCGGAAUAAGGGGUGCUCACGCGAGUGAGCCGCAGUGAAUAGGUCCAGGCAACUGUUUAUCAAAAACACAGCUCUCUGCUAAAUCGUAAGAUGACGUAUAGGGGGUGACACCUGCCCGGUGCUGGAAGGUUAAGAGGAGGGGUGCAAGCUCCGAAUUGAAGCCCCAGUAAACGGCGGCCGUAACUAUAACGGUCCUAAGGUAGCGAAAUUCCUUGUCGGGUAAGUUCCGACCCGCACGAAUGGUGUAAUGAUCUGGACACUGUCUCAACAACGCACCCGGCGAAAUUGUAGUACCGGUGAAGAUGCCGGUUACCCGCGGCAAGACGGAAAGACCCCAUGGAGCUUCACUGUAGCCUGAUAUUGGGUCUCGGUAUUUUAUGUACAGGAUAGGCGGGAGACUUGGAAACCAGCACGCCAGUGUUGGCGGAGUCACCCUUGGGAUACCGCUCUUAAAGUAUUGAGAUUCUAACCUGCAGCCGUGAAUCCGGCUGGGGGACAUUGUCAGGUGGGCAGUUUGACUGGGGCGGUCGCCUCCAAAAGAGUAACGGAGGCGUUCAAAGGUUCACUCAGCAUGGACGGAAACCAUGCCUUAGAGUGCAAACGCAUAAGCGAGCCUAACUGCGAGACUGACGGGUCGAGCAGUAACGAAAGUU